UCAGGAUGAACGCCGGCGGUGUGCCUAAUACAUGCAAGUCGUACGCACUGGCCCAACUGAUUGAUGGUGCUUGCACCUGAUUGACGAUGGAUCACCAGUGAGUGGCGGACGGGUGAGUAACACGUAGGUAACCUGCCCCGGAGCGGGGGAUAACAUUUGGAAACAGAUGCUAAUACCGCAUAACAACAAAAGCCACAUGGCUUUUGUUUGAAAGAUGGCUUUGGCUAUCACUCUGGGAUGGACCUGCGGUGCAUUAGCUAGUUGGUAAGGUAACGGCUUACCAAGGCGAUGAUGCAUAGCCGAGUUGAGAGACUGAUCGGCCACAAUGGAACUGAGACACGGUCCAUACUCCUACGGGAGGCAGCAGUAGGGAAUCUUCCACAAUGGGCGCAAGCCUGAUGGAGCAACACCGCGUGAGUGAAGAAGGGUUUCGGCUCGUAAAGCUCUGUUGUUGGAGAAGAACGUGCGUGAGAGUAACUGUUCACGCAGUGACGGUAUCCAACCAGAAAGUCACGGCUAACUACGUGCCAGCAGCCGCGGUAAUACGUAGGUGGCAAGCGUUAUCCGGAUUUAUUGGGCGUAAAGCGAGCGCAGGCGGUUGCUUAGGUCUGAUGUGAAAGCCUUCGGCUUAACCGAAGAAGUGCAUCGGAAACCGGGCGACUUGAGUGCAGAAGAGGACAGUGGAACUCCAUGUGUAGCGGUGGAAUGCGUAGAUAUAUGGAAGAACACCAGUGGCGAAGGCGGCUGUCUGGUCUGCAACUGACGCUGAGGCUCGAAAGCAUGGGUAGCGAACAGGAUUAGAUACCCUGGUAGUCCAUGCCGUAAACGAUGAGUGCUAGGUGUUGGAGGGUUUCCGCCCUUCAGUGCCGGAGCUAACGCAUUAAGCACUCCGCCUGGGGAGUACGACCGCAAGGUUGAAACUCAAAGGAAUUGACGGGGGCCCGCACAAGCGGUGGAGCAUGUGGUUUAAUUCGAAGCUACGCGAAGAACCUUACCAGGUCUUGACAUCUUGCGCUAACCUUAGAGAUAAGGCGUUCCCUUCGGGGACGCAAUGACAGGUGGUGCAUGGUCGUCGUCAGCUCGUGUCGUGAGAUGUUGGGUUAAGUCCCGCAACGAGCGCAACCCUUGUUACUAGUUGCCAGCAUUAAGUUGGGCACUCUAGUGAGACUGCCGGUGACAAACCGGAGGAAGGUGGGGACGACGUCAGAUCAUCAUGCCCCUUAUGACCUGGGCUACACACGUGCUACAAUGGACGGUACAACGAGUCGCNNNCUCGCGAGAGUAAGCUAAUCUCUUAAAGCCGUUCUCAGUUCGGACUGUAGGCUGCAACUCGCCUACACGAAGUCGGAAUCGCUAGUAAUCGCGGAUCAGCAUGCCGCGGGUGAANAC
rnacentral:rRNA from 2 species